rnacentral:lncRNA from 1 species
CCCCAAGCUUACCCUUUGCUCGUCCCUGAGCAAAUAGCUAAACUCAGACGGAUCAGCAGUUGCUUCGAUGUUUUCUUUCCUGACAGGCACACAUGCUUUUACAUAAAAAUUCUUCCAGAUUAAAGUGAAGUGUUAUGAAGUUUAGUACCUGCACUUAAAUCUUAAGUAAUCGAAAGACAAAAUAGUUAAUUCAAGCACUAUCCCUCCUGUCUAUACUUCACCUUUGUUCUAGAGUUUUUCAUAAGUUUUCAAAAUAAAACUCAGAGUUCCCAGCAAUGAUCUCUCAAGUCUCUCUAUAUGUGGUAUUUGUGGAUCCUUACCAUAAUGUCACUUACCUCUAGCUAAUGGAAUAAUUAAGUGGAGCUCAUAGGAGUGCAAACAGCUCAUACAUAUGUUGUCUAAUCGAGCCAUGGAUCCAAAGGAACUCAGCAUAUAAUUAAAUCAAGAUGUGCAUGUGUGAUGGAGUAAAUGAUAGUGAUGGUGAAAAUGCAUAAGUGAUAAUAAAAUUUACUUCUCAUUGCUCCUCAUAUUGCUAUCUCUCCUCUUCUUUGAUCUUUGCUUUGGGAGAACAUGGGCUAUUUUUCUCCUCUCUUGUUUUUUUUUCAGGUGGGUAGUGGAUACCCCUAAUUCUACUGUCGGACACUUGUCCAUUUUUUCCGCUCAAGUGGGCAUCUUUGUACCCCUAAUUCUACUUCGGACACUUGUCCAUUUUUACCUCUCGUCUCACUCUUUUUCUUUUAUCGAGAUUCCGGGCACUUGCCCCUUUUUAUUUCCUCGUAUAUAUUUUUUUUUGCAUAACCCAUGCCUCUUCUGCAUUGAAUCUUUUUAGAGAGAGAGAAUAACAAUAUUCGGGACAGUGAGUGAUAAUAUUUUUAGCAAUUUUAAUGAUUGAUAAUGAAUGCUGUGGUAGAUGCGUGCAAGUGAAUAUCUUAAUUUAACCACAUGAAAAGCUCCUAAGGGUCAACACAGCUCGAUCAAACUCAAUGUGAAUAUAGUAAAGAUGUUAUAGCAAGUAUGGCUGUGGUAGGUAGUUUGUUAUGCUAGGAACUCAUCAUGUGAUUUGUAAGUUUUCAAAAUUAAAUCUCUAGAACUUGGUGUAGUAGGAACAAGAUAAACAGUAGCUCAACUUUAUAUCAUGCCUUUCUCUUACCUAGACUUUAGUUUAUGCUUUCCCAAAGAUAGUAAUUUUAGUUUUAGUAAUUCCUGGAAGAAUUCUAAUAUAAAAGCUAGGUACUUGUAAGUGAGCAAACAGAGCAACUAUUCAUCAUUUCCAUCAUGUAUAUUUUUGGUCUUUUUAUUUUUCUAGAGAUUAAACUUAGCAGGAAGAUAAAGCACACUUAUCUACACACUCUUUUUAUUUUGUUUUCAUGUUUAUAAAGUGCAGUAAAUUAAAGCAAAAAAAUAUUUAUUUGGUUUUCUAAGCUUUUCCUUUUAAGAUAAAUAAGAAGAGCAAAUAAAAACUUACUUGAUAAAUUUGGGAGGAACUCUCCCAAGCUGGAUGUUGACGUCGGUCUUACCCGAUGUUCCAGAAUCGCAUCAUGGUUGUGAUGUUGUCGUUCAUUGUUGUUGUAUCUUGUCUCAGCUCUUCUACUGUAGCGGCAUGGUCCUGGUUCCAUUUUUGUUGCUCUUCCACGAGUCUUCCAUGUUCUGCUUGCGUGUUCUGGAUGUUGAGGAGGGUGUUGUCGGUACGAGUAAAGAAAGCACCGGCCUCUUGAUAGUAGUCAUUCGUGAAGGCGUAGGAGGCGUCGGAGUAUCGUCCUGCAUCAAAUUGGGGUGGAGGUCUGGAU